rnacentral:lncRNA from 1 species
GCUGGCUGGGUAUCCGCGGCAAGUUCAGAUCAUUAGUUGGCUGGAGUUAAUUAACCACCAGACAAUUAGCUUAUCUUUUUCCCGAUCCUAAGACCAGCUGGAUUGGUGAGGAGGAACUAGAGACAACAGCUUCCUUCUGAGUCACCUUGAGGCAGCAGCCACUGGGGAAAUGCAGGGAAGGACACUACCCAGGCUUCCUGGAGGGGUUGGCCCCAGGGCAUGCCCUGCUUGGGCGGAAAAGCUUGGAGUUUAGAUGAGGAAGCCUGAAUUCUCCUCUAGACCUCCUGCCAACUCUUUGCCUGACCUUGGGCAAAACAUUUAACUCUCUUCUGGGCCUUGGUUUCUUUAGCAAACACUGACGCCUGCUUCUCCGGCUCGCCCCCGCGCCCCACUCCCCCCACCGCUUUUUAAAUGUUUAUUAUUUUUUUAAUCAUGGUUUUAUUAGGUUGGUGCAAAAG